rnacentral:rRNA from 1 species
GAUCCUGGCUCAGGACGAACGCUGGCGGCGUGCUUAACACAUGCAAGUCGAACGGGGAAUUUCUUCGGAUAUUCCUAGUGGCGAACGGGUGAGUAACGCGUAGGCAACCUGCCCUUCAGACGGGGACAACAUUCCGAAAGGGAUGCUAAUACCGGAUACGCAGGAGGGGUCGCAUGACCCUUUCUGGAAAGACGGCCUCUUCACAAUGCUGUCGCUGAAGGAUGGGCCUGCGUCCGAUUAGCUUGUUGGCGGGGUAACGGCCCACCAAGGCGACGAUCGGUAGCCGGUCUGAGAGGAUGAACGGCCACAUUGGGACUGAGACACGGCCCAGACUCCUACGGGAGGCAGCAGUGGGGAAUCUUCCGCAAUGGGCGAAAGCCUGACGGAGCAACGCCGCGUGAGUGAAGAAGGCCUUCGGGUUGUAAAGCUCUGUUGUCCAUGACGAACGGGUCCGGCAGUAACUGGCGGGACAGUGACGGUAGUGGACGAGGAAGCCACGGCUAACUACGUGCC